CGACAUCGGGAGGCCUCGGUCGUGAGCGGCGGUCAGCAUCGGCACUGCUGGGUUUGGAGCACGCUGGUGGGCUUUGACGUCAAGAUUUGAACUAUCAGAUGCAACUGCUGAUACACCGAUGUCCUGAAUAUUUUGUUGUGAGGCUGAGCAACACUUCGCACGGCUGCAGCACCGAGAGCUCAUGGGAGGCCAAAACAAACAGGUUCAUGGCAAGCUUGUAACAUCGGCCAAGAGAAGCACAUUCAACCUCACUGGAGAGAGAGACGGUGCUACUAUCAGAAUUAGGAGAACAAGAGCUAAAUCUUGAAGGUGAUUCCACAAAUUAAAUCUUGUUUGGUCUGUUUGUUUAUGUUGGAGAAUCAUCUUUCUCCCCUUGGCAGCUCAAUUAUCUUUUUCUCAACAUGUAUAAUUUGGGGAAAUAUUGAUUUUUUGUUGUUCAGCCACUGCAUUGUCACACCAUCGGAACUCAUGUUGAAUUUACAUCGUCCGGAUGAUGGUGAUAAAUACGAAGUGAGGACCAAAACCAACCAAAAUAUUGGAUGAAACCUCGUUCUUGCGAUAUGUAGUUCUCGUCGAGUAUUUUUUCUGGUUAAUAUUGUCUUGCAGUGUCAAAGUUUCUACCACAUGUCUAGAUAUAGCCAGUUUUUGGCAAUUAUUGUGAACCGGAGGGAGUACUUUUCUUAUAUCACCUGAAUGUCGCAUACUUGGAUUCGUAAGUCGCGAGUACGAUUCUGAAAUUAUAGCAUAGUUGUACUCGGAAGCCUGUUCUAUUAAUUUGCGUUGAUCUAAUUUUUGACUGAUGCAUCUUAUAUGGAGCAUUUUGCAGUUGAUACCCAGCUAGUAGCUCAUCAAUUAGGGCUCCUUAAUCCCCCAUGAUUGUGUUUUCAGUCACAAACAUACACAGCUUAGUGCUUCUUUAGUUAUUCUGUGACAUCAGUACUUUCCUUUAUUUAUCAUUGCGGAUUUAAAUCAUCCCAAAAGUUGUCGGAAGCUGCUUCGAAAUGUAAUUUCUUUUAAUCAUAAAGCUGCUUCAUGUGUGCUACUUUACUGAUUUAGGUGGUCCACAACCAGGGAAAGGCUCUGGCUGCUUCUUUCUUUGCCCUGUCACUUUUGAUUACCACCCCAUCUCUACCAUUUUGAAUGAGUAAGUGACAUUUCUCUCCAAUUGUGCAUUAUCUUGGUUUGUUAUUGUUCAAUUUUAAUUAUUGUUGAUGUAAGAAAUAAAUCUUGAGAUAGGCAAUUCGGCAUCUUUUUAAAUUUGUUGGCAUCAAUUGUAUUUCCAAUUUAAUGCUAUUUCAUUACUUUCAGAUGCAUAUACUCUGUAUUUGGUUACUGAUUUGUUUACGUUUUUUCUUUGGAAAUGUUUAGGGGCUAGAGUAUAUAUACUUGAUUGCUUAUCUUGAAUUUGGCCGCAUAGGAUCUGACAAGCUUCUAAAUAUGUUGAGCUGUACUGAUCAUGGUGUGAAAACAAACAAACAAAAUUCUCUUGUGGAGAUCAUCUUACCUUUGCAAUUGUUCAAUCUUUGCCAAAGGAAAAUCUCCGGUUGGAAAUUAUAUUCAGUUAUUUAAUUCUUAUGCUAAUUCUAUGUCCAUUUUGUUGGAUGUCUGGUGAUGUUCAAGAUAUUAAGGGCAUUGUGCCUGGAUGCCAAGUGAAAAUUAGAACCGCGUUACGUCCUUGUGGUAGUGGUAAAAACCCUGCUGAUACAUGUUUAUAUAUCUGAAUGUAUGCUAUUCUUCCAGCUGAUAGUAGGCAUUCUAUUAAUGUAAUUACUAUGAUAUAAGCAAAUUACUUUUACGAGGUUCUUCUGUCAUUGGGGCUUCACAUGGUCCACUAGGGAUUUCUGUACCUGCUUAAUCAAGCUAAAAGAAGAUAAAUUACAUUAGCACCCCAAACAAUGGAUAAAAACUGAUCACAGAAGUAACUGACUGAUCAUAUAAACAAGGGUAGAUUGGCUACAGAAAACAACAAAAUAUUUUUUGCCUGCACCUCUUUACGGCAGUAGGGCACUACAAGGAAAUUUGCUGUCAAAUAUUUAAACAGUUAAAGUUACGGUACAGCUCUGUAUACUGCUCUAUAGCAGUCAAAUAAAUCUCUCAGUUUCUGAACUUAAUUUAAAGAUGUUCAAAUGCUUGUUUGCACGCUCUCUAAAAAACCCGCCUUCAAUUGAAGCCCUUGAUAAAUUUAUGCCUGUUAUCUAGACAGAAUAGUUGGCCCAUCGGACUAAUUUUUUUCAGAAGGUGCUGGCAGGUUGAUACUCAACUGCAACGGUAAGAAUCUGUCGUGUUAGUACUAAUGCCAAGUAGUGUUUAAAAAUCUGGAUGGACGUUUCUUUUGUCGCCUAUAAUGUUGCUUGCUGCUUCUUUCUUUACCACCCAAUUUCUACCAAUUUGGAUGAGUAAGUGAUGAUUUUCUCUCCAUUGUGUACCAUGUUGCUUCGUAUUUGUUAAAUUUUAUUGUUGCUGUAAAAAAUUAAUCUUGAGGUAAGUACUUCUGUUUUUUCUGCAAUUGCAUCUCCAAUGUAAUGUCAUGGCCUUCAAGAUUACCGAUCGAUGGUAUCUAACCUGACUUUUUACGAUAAUCCUUCAACAUGAGAUUUUAUUUGUCUUUCUUUUCAUUACGGAUCGAUGAAGGUUACAAGAAGACCAUCACCAACCUUAGCAGGCCAAAGUCUUUGAGUUCCUCAAAUAAUAUCAUAUUAUGAAUGUGCUGUCCUGUUUAUGUGUGUGAGAACAUGAUAUGGCUAGAGGAAGGAACAAUGUCUCAGCUACUUCUUACAAGGACAAGAUAUUAUUCUGGAAGCGCGGACAAUAUACCGUUUGCACUAGUUGAUCUUAGUAUACAAAGAUGUCAGCUUGUAAUUUGUAUACAUAGGUUAGGUUAGAUUUUGAUAAUGAGGUAGGUUCGCACAUUUGGUGAUCCAGAAUGUACAAACUUUACCUUCAUAAAUUCCAAAUCCUUUUGCCUA